CCAUACAGCCUGGCUUGUUUCAAGUACCACCUACGGAAGCUCUCAAAGUGCCCCCCGUCCCCCGCCUCCCGAGAACUAGUCCCGCAGAGUGAGUUGUGGGCAGCUGUCCACUCCGGGCUCUGUGGACUCCCUCUUUCCAUCACGAGCACCUUCCCUUUGGAGGCACAACCUUGGCUGGGAGAGCACCACAUUCCUGCUGUGCCAGCACCCAGCCACCUUCCCGACGCCCCCUUUUCUCUCUCUCCAAGGGCAGCUUGUCAGUUUUGCCUCUAAGAAGCCCUCUCAUGCUGAUCCUUCUACGUCUACGCUUUACCUAUGUACCUAGUUUAAGCCCUUGUCACUCCUUCUGUGAUCACGAUGGAAUCUCCUAAAUGGAUCUCUUCCUCCAGACAUUCUUGCUCUAACCCUGUCUGGUGACCACCGAGCACCGGAGGCGUGACGGGUGCAACCAACGAAGAAGAGCUUUAAUGGUCUUUCACGUUGACUUCUUUAAUCUUAAAAAAGCUGAAGCUCCAUUCAGGUAGGAGAACAUUUUUAAGAACCCUGGCAACUCUUGGAAAUGUGGGGAAUCUGCUUGUCAACUGGGAAUUUUAUGAAAUCUAAAUACAAUCUGAGUACCUCAGAUAAGAGUUUAGCUUCCAAAUUGGGACAUGCUGUUAAGUAUAAAAUACCGGCUCUCAAAGACGUCAUGCCAAGAAAGUACGUAAAAUCUGAUGUUCAUUAGUUUUUAAAUUGAUUACAUGUGGGAAUGAUAGUAUUUUGGAGGCAUUGUGUCAUGUUGAAUCUAUUGUUGUGCUUAUAUCAUCUGCUUCUUUUUACUAUUUUUUAAGUGUGCCUAUUAGAAAAAUUUGAAAUUGCAUGUGUGGCUAGUUCUUUCUUUCUUUUAUUUUUGAAAGAUUUUCUGAUUAAAAUGUUUCCUAGUGAUAGUUUCCCAGGUUACAGAGUUUUAUUCAUUCAUUCAUUCGUUUUUAUUAAAGUAUAGUUGAUUUACAGUGUUGUGCCAAUUUUGGCUUUACAGCAAAGUAACCCAGUCAUACACACCCUCCCCAUAUAUAAAUUUCUUUUUCUCAUAUUAUCUUCCAUCCUGCUCCAUCCCAAGAGACUGGACAUUGUUCCGUGCGCUGCACAGUAGGAUCUCAUGGCUUAUCCAUUCUAAGUGUAAUAGUUCGAAUGAGUGUCUUCGUUCAGUGAUUCUCCACCUGCCAGCAGUAAGUGACUUGCUCUCCGGCCUCCACUGCUCUGCGCCUUGCUGCUCUGUCUGCAGAGUAAAACCAGGGCCCAAGGAAGCCCACCUUCUCUGGUCCACCCUGGGCUUCACAGCUCCGGAUGUCCAUCUCCCAACACCCACCCAUGGAGCGCUCUGUCUUGAGGUCUGCUCUUCUGCCACUUUUUCUGCCUCUGGACAUUUUCUAGCUGCCCCUCCCCAGCCAAGCAAAAGAAAACAAAGCAAAACUCCAGAGGAACUGUUCUCUCCAUUGAAGAAUCAGCUCGAGUAUCUUCUCCGAAGCACAGUUGGUCUCUGCUGCCUCCGCCCAGACCCAGCAAAGCUCCUCCCGGCUGUGUCCACCUUGUGGGCCACUUUCUGGGGUGACAUUAUAAUAAUUCCCACAUCAAUCCCAGCAUCCUCCUCAACCCGCCAGCUCACCAUCUCAGCGACCCGGGAUCGCCAGCCCCACCAGGGGAGUGCUUGGAUGCAUGAAUGAAAUGAACAGGAAUAUGUCAGUGUUGCUAAUUCACACCAAUAAAUAAAACCUCUCCUGCAGAUUUGAAGGCACGAUCAUUUGACGUGGGUUCUCCUUUCUGUACCUGGAAAAGCAGCAAAAGUGGGGCUUGAUGAAGUAAAGAAUCAGAGCACAAUGAAAGUGGGAAACCUAAGAAGCAUGCCUGAUGCCAGGUAGCCAGAGCACUUUCAAAGGAACAAUCACAGGCCUUCUGACUCCCCUCUUACUUGUCUCUGCAGCUGUGAUUGUCUUUUUUCUUUUCUUCUCUUUUUCUCUGAAAGCCUAUUACCAGGCUCUUGGCCAACACUUCCUCCUGAAAGAUGUGUACGUGUCUUCAGACAGGUACAAUCCAGGCUUGUUGGUCUGAGGUCUGUUCUGCCUUUUCUCAGGAAGUUUUGCAAACCUGCAGCCUGAGUCAGUGACAAUGGAUCGUAAAUUUGCUCGGAAGUGAAAUGUACAUUUCCUGAUGCGUGUUAUCACACACUGAAAUCUCUCUUCACAACUCUUGAUUUUAAAAAAUGUGUUUAAGUGCUCAAAACCGUAUCUUCUGCUUUGUAAAGCACAUGUUAAGUUUUAGAACAAGUUUGGUGUCUUCCUCCCAGAGUUUAUUUGGCAUUGACCUAUUUGCUGGGAGCUCAAAUUCUAAGUCUGGACAGCACACACUCUUCCGUUCACAAGCAGUUUAUCAUCCAAAUAUGAACAGCAAAGCCAAGCAAAGCAUUGGACAGCAGAAGCAGGAAAGCAGGCUGCUCUUAUCAGGGUGAAGGAGAUUGGCGGCCCAUUAGGAGAGUGUCCACAAAAGAGAAAACCUGAAAUACAAUAAAUAUUUACUUGUUUAUAUUUUUCUCUUCUAUAAUUACCAUAGUGACCUCGUGCCUGAUAAAAACAUCAACAGAGCAGGGAGAAGACAGGCCCCAGCUGGGCUCUCCAAAAACGGCUUCUCAGGGGUCAGGAAAGUUUAACCUAUUUAUAUGAACUCACUGAAUUAAAUAAGCAUGAUUUAAUACCGCAGGACAGAGCAAAAGAAAACGGCACGGCUUUGCCAGAGUAAUCCUCUUUCAGGUCCUUCAAUAAUUCCUAGCACUUUGAAGAGCUUCCCCUUUUUUUAAUAUUUGUUGUUGCACUUUUUAUUUUUCUUCCCAGUAGUCACUCUGCGUGUGUUUUUAAACUGCUGAUGGUUUAAACUCCUAAUGGGCUGUGAGAGCCGUGCCAUCUUGGUGACUCAGCCACCCUGGACGUCAAGUGAACUCCAUGCUUCGUGUGGUUUAAACUCUCUGAACGAGACCCUAUUCUUCCUUCACAGGCACCCUGGGGGAUCCACUUUUCCUUCUUAUCUUCAUCCAUGGUUUGUCUGAUGUCUCGGUUCCAGUGGUUGCCCCAUGAAUACAACAGCCUGCAUCACAGCCACCCGUGGAGGCUUGCUUAAACCCACGGCUGACCCUGUCCUCAGAGGUGCUGAGUCACUCGUCUGCGUGGAACCUGCAAGUCUGCAUUCUUAACCAGGACCCGGGGCUGAGGCUGCUGGGGGUCCAGCUAUCGCAUCUGAGGACCUCUGCAAGAUGGAGAUUUUUUUCCAGGGAGCAGGAUGUGGAGCCCGGAAGAUGUUGGGAGCCCAGGCCUCCAUCUUCCCAUCUUUGAACUACUUUCCAGAAUGCUUGUCUGGGCUUCCCUGAUGUUGGCCACGAGAUCAUAUGUGUGAAGAGUUUUUAAGCCUCAAGAUCAGUUGAUGUAUGUGGAAGGGGAUGUACUUUUCAGCAGCGGCUACCCACGUUUUCAUAAAGUCCUUAAGGAGUCCUCUCUCCUUGCUUCCUUUCCUCUUUGGGGACCAUGUUCUUUGAAUACAUCUGUUGGGAGGGGAAGGCACUAACCAGAGCUCUUUUGGAUCAGGCUGAUCGUUUAUUUAUUUGUUUUGAAAAGUUUAUUUAUAUAUAUAUAAAGUAAUAUAUGGAUACCAUACGCAGAUGCAUAUGUGUGUGUGUGUAUAUAUCUAUUCUUUGUCAGAGUCUUUCCCCACAGGCUAUUACGGAGGAGAUUCCCUGUCCUGCAGAGUAGGUCCUUGUUACUCAUGCAUUGCAUGCAGAGUGGUGUGUAUACGUUAAUCCCGACCUCCUGAUGCGUCCUUCCCCCCAGCUCUUUCCUCUUUGGUAACCCUAAUUUUGAUUUCAAAAUCUUUGAGUCUGUUUCUGUUUUGUGAAUAAGUUCCUUUUACCAGAUUCUUAGCCCACUGAGUGAGGCCAGGGAUCAAACCCACAUCCUCAUGGAUAAUAGUCAGGUUUGUAAGCCCCUGGGCCUCUAUAGGAACUCCUGGAUGGCAUUGUUUCAUUCUUUUUUAAGGCUGAGUAAUAUUCUAUUGCAUGUACGUACCACAUCCUUUUUACCCCGUCCUCUUUUGAUGGACAUUCAGGUUGCUUCCAUGCCUUGACUAUUGUGAAUACUGCUGCAUGAACAUUGUGGUGCAUGUAUAUUUUUGGAUUAUGGUUUUCCCCAGAUAGAUGCCCAGGCAUGGGAUUGCUGGAUCAUAUGGUAGUUCUACGUUUAAUUUUUUAAGGAACCUCCAUACUCUUCUCCACAGGGCUUGCCCCAGUUUACAUUCCCACCAAAAGUGCUGAUUUUUUAGCUCGAACAUGUUCUGCUCUGACGUGGAGACCCUGGCACACCCUCCACUUCUUCCAACCUUCUCCACACCGUGGACUCCCCUGAGCAAAUCGUUUUUGCCUGUGACGAGACCCAACUUGGACUUCCAGGUUUCUGCUGCAGGUUCGUGGAUUUAUUUAGAUCAAAAUCUCAGAAGUUUUUUUUUUUUUAAUGUAAAUUGCUGACAAGUAAACUCCUCACAUGUGAAAUUCAUCCAGCCUUCUGUUCCCUCCUUCAUGGAUUUAUGCGUUAAUUCAUUUGAAAAAUAUGACUUGAUAAUCUGCUCAAGUUCAGCAUAGCAGGGCUUUGAUAUUUACAUAUUAACAUACAACUACACACCUAGCCUUAUUAGGUUUAAUUGUGAGUAUUUCUAUUCUCACUCUAAUCUCUUUGUCUUAAGGAUUUUGAUCCUUUCUUAAUUAACAGGUCGAUUUUAUUGAAACUCAUGAUAGUAGUCAUAAUACCUACAUGUUAUCAAAACAAUUAUACUUUUAAAAUUUCUCUUUGUGGAAUGAUUUGAAAUGUGCUUUAUAAAUAAUACUAGAGGAAUCAACAAUAAAUUAGUAGAAAAGGAACUACGAGUUUAACUUGAAGUCAUUCUGAAAACAUACUAGAAUUUUUAAAUUAUUUCUUUUUUAGUAAAUGUAUUUUUUUAGGGUAUAGUUGAUUUGUUGAGUCAAUUUCUGCUGUAUAGUGUAGUGACCCAGUCAUACACACACACACACACACACACACACACACACACAUUCUUUUUCUUAUAUUAUCUUCCAUUACAGUCUAUCCCAAGGCAAUCCUACUCCUGGGCAUAUAUAUGGAUAAAACUACAAUUCAAAAAGAUACAUGCACCCUUAUAGUCAUUGCAGCACUAUUCACAAUAGUCAAGACAUAGGAGCAACCUAAAUGUCCACUGCCAGAUGAAUGGAUUAAGGUGUGGUACAUACAUACAAUGGAAUACUACUCGGCCAUAAAAGGAGCAAAAUAAUGCCAUUUGCAACGACGUGGAUGCAGUUAGAGAGUCUCGUACUAAGUGAAUAAGUCAGCAAGAGAAACACAAAUACCAUGUGAUAGCGCUUAUUAUAUGGAAUCUAAAAUACGGAUUGUGCCCUUUGAAGCUGUAUCAUCUCUUGGGCUCUCUGGCUCACUGUUCAGUUACUUGGUGUUCAUCAAUAUGUCUUCCUCUAAGGAAACAGUUCAAGUAGGACUUGAAUAAUUGGAGCUACUUUAGCUUGUCAGCAGAGCCCCCUCCCUUUCCACCGUCAUCACCAGCAUCGUGGUUGUACGGUACGAUGCUGCCACACUUAUGGAGGCAACAAAGUGUAUGACAGCCUGCCCACGUACCUCCAAGAUAGUCCAAACAUCUGUUUAAAAACUUGGCAAAAUGAAUGAAACAACAUCUAUGGUGCUUUUUGGUCUGCUGCUGUGUUCUCCGGUCUCACCAGUAGUUAAUCUGGUGGUUAUCACCUACCUGUCUGUCUGUCUGUCUGUCUAUCCUCUGUCCUAAACCAAGUUGACUAAUGAUCUCAUUCUAAAUUCCAUCAGGGGCCUCUGUAACGCCUCCCAGCUUACAGAUUCUAGUGUCCGGAAGCUCCCGUUUUGGAAGAAGGAGCAUGAUUCAGGAAAGGUGACCAGUGCUGCUUUUGUUAUGUAAUUUAGCCGGGAGGGAAAGAGGAACAACGGCAAGGAUAACGCCUCAGGCAAGGAUAACGCCUCAGUGUGUGCUCUCCAGUCUCUACAACCCUUCCCCAGGUCGCCAAAGUCACUCUUCUUCACAGCAAAGUGAGUUUGUUCUCUUCUCUGUUUUCCCCCCGGCGGAGUAACUUGGUCAAAACCCACAGGAAGGGGAGAGCUGAGCCUCGCACUGGGUCUUCUCACCCCAGAUCCUGUAUCGUUCAAAGAAGUUCAGUAACACAGGGUCAAAGGAUUCUUCUUUUUCAGACUGUCUCUGAGUUAACAGUAAGUGAGAUGAACUUGAGUUUAGGAAUUGGAACCCUGGUCAGCUCGUUUUUUAUUUUUGUUUUGUUUUUAUUUUUCCUUGCAGAUGUUUAUUAUUUAUGUCAUUAUUUUGCCAAACUGAGCCAAGGUUUUCUUAAAACCAAGAUAAAUUUCCUUGGUCUAAAAAAAAAAGAAAAAAAGAAAAAAAA
rnacentral:lncRNA from 1 species